UACAGAGGUCUCAAGCGUUGUUCGGAUUCAUUGGGCGUAAAGGGUGCGUAGGCGGCGGGGUAAGUCUGAUGUGAAAUCCCGGGGCUCAACCCCGGAACUGCAUUGGAUACUGCCCUGCUUGAGUACUGGAGAGGAGACUGGAAUUUACGGUGUAGCAGUGAAAUGCGUAGAUAUCGGGAGGAACACCUGCGGCGAAAGCGGCUCACUGGACCACAACUGACGCUGAGGCGCGAAAGCUAGGGGAGCAAACAGG
rnacentral:rRNA from 1 species